UGCAUCGGCCGGGAAUCGAACCCAGGCCGCCCGCGUGGCAGGCGAGUAUUCUACCACUGAACCACCGAUGG
rnacentral:tRNA from 1 species